CAUUGAACGCUGGCGGCAGGCAAAACACAUGCAAGUCGAGCGGUAGCACAGAGAGCUUGCUCUCGGGUGACGAGCGGCGGACGGGUGAGUAAUGUCUGGGAAACUGCCUGAUGGAGGGGGAUAACUACUGGAAACGGUAGCUAAUACCGCAUAACGUCGCAAGACCAAAGUGGGGGACCUUCGGGCCUCAUGCCAUCAGAUGUGCCCAGAUGGGAUUAGCUAGUAGGUGGGGUAACGGCUCACCUAGGCGACGAUCCCUAGCUGGUCUGAGAGGAUGACCAGCCACACUGGAACUGAGACACGGUCCAGACUCCUACGGGAGGCAGCAGUGGGAAAUAUUGCACAAUGGGCGCAAGCCUGAUGCACCCUUGCCGCGUGUGU
rnacentral:rRNA from 1 species